GACGAACGCUGGCGGCGUGCCUAAUACAUGCAAGUAGGACGCAGUUGCGAACGGGUGAGUAACGCGUAGGUACCUGCCUAUUAGAGGGGGAUAACUAUUGGAAACGAUAGCUAAUACCGCAUACUAGUAGAUGGACCUGCGUUGUAUUAGCUAGUAGGUAGGGUAAUGGCCUACCUAGGCAACGAUACAUAGCCGACCUGAGGAGGAGAUCGGGCACACUGGGAAUGAGAAACGGCCCAGACUCCUACGGGAGGCAGCAGUAGGGAAACUUUGGAAAUGGGGGGAACCCUGAACGAGCAACGCCGCGUGAGUGAAGAAGGUUUUCGGAUCGUAAAGCUCUGUUGUGAAGGAAGCGGUACUUAACCAGAAAGGGACGGCUAACUACGUGCCAGCAGCCGCGGUAAUAC
rnacentral:rRNA from 1 species